UACGUAGGGUGCGAGCGUUGUCCGGAAUUACUGGGCGUAAAGAGCUCGUAGGUGGUUUGUCGCGUCGUUCGUGAAAUCUCACGGCUUAACUGUGAGCGUGCGGGCGAUACGGGCAGACUGGAGUACUGCAGGGGAGACUGGAAUUCCUGGUGUAGCGGUGGAAUGCGCAGAUAUCAGGAGGAACACCGGUGGCGAAGGCGGGUCUCUGGGCAGUAACUGACGCUGAGGCACGAAGGUCAGGGGAGCAAACGGG
rnacentral:rRNA from 1 species